UAAUAUUUAAUACCUGAUUGUGGUUUUGAUUUGCAUUUCCCUGAUGAUUAGUGAUGUUGUGAACUUUUCAUAUACCUGUUGGCCAUUAAAUUACGUUUUGAUAUGAUAGCUCUGUAAGGGUUAAGUACUUUUUAGGACAUGGACCUGGAAUGAUUGCCAGAAAUCAUAGUUUGAAUUGAAUUAAUUUUCAAAUUUAGCAGGCAUAUACUUUCCAUUUCUCCAUCCUACUAAAUAAAUUAAAAGUUAAUUUACCGUGGUGGUGGGCUUGACAGGAACUGGGAACAGCUUUUACUUUCAUUUUCUGGGACCACUCACCUGAACUUGGUAAACACUCCUGAGCCUUUUAAACAAUCACCCUCCACCUGCCUUUACUUACACUCACUUUGGAGCAGGCUCUCUUCUCUACUUCCUUUUCUGGGCAGUCCCCAGGGCUGCGUUAGCUUCUUCGCUUGCUUCUAUUACAGCAUGACUAGCCCAGAGCCUGCCCAAAUAUGUGGUAGGCUGAUGAAUGGUCCUCCAAAGAUGUCCAUGGUCCUAAUCACUGGGAUCUGUGAGUAUAUUACUUUUUAUGGUGAAAGGGACUUUGCAGAUACAAUCAAGUUAAGGAUUUAGAGAUGAGGAGAUUAUCCAGAUGGGCUUAAUGUCAUCACAAGUUUCUUUGUAAGUGGGAGGCAGGAGGAUCAAAGUAAAAAAAAGAAGAUGUGAUGACAAAACCAGAGGUUGGAGGGAUGCCCUUUGAAGAUGGGGAAAGGCACCAGGAGCUGCGGAAUGUAGGCAGCUUCUACCAGCUGGAAAAGGAAAGGAAACAUUCUUCCCUGAGCCCCUGGGAGGCAGCAGUCCUGACAAGACCUGGCUUUUAGACUUCUGAUUUCCACGACUGUAAGAGAAUAAUUUGUGUUGUUUCAAGUUACUCGAUUUACGGUAACUUGUUAUAGUAGCAGUAGGGAACUUAUCCAAUUACUAUAUAUAUUAAAGCCCUUUCAAGAUCAUAAUACCAUGUUAGGUAUUAUUCAUAGUAGCACAUCAUAAUAUUUGCAAAUCCUUUUCCUUAAUAUUGUGUUUAAAAAUUAAAUGUAUUUUUAAAAAAUGUAUUUCAAAGCUUGCUUUAAAAUAUUCUUGUAGAAAAAUCUUGUACUAUUUCUGUAUUUUAAAAUUAAUUUAUUCAGUUUAUACUUAUUAAACAUCUAUUAUGUGCAAAAGAGUAUGUUCUAGAGGACACAGAAAUGUUUAGGACAUGGACUUUAAUUCCAAGAAUCUCAUAAGGUUGACCUCUAGAAGCUAAAAUAUAUGCAUAAAUAACUGUUGCCCAAGUUGGCAUAUUGUAUUAGCUAGCUAGGGCUGCAUAAUAAAGUAUUACAGACUGGGGGGCUUAGACAACAGAAAUUUAUUUUCUCACAAUCCUGGAAGCUAGAAGUCCAAGAUAAAGGUAUUGUGAAAGAAAAAUAAAUCCUAGGACCCCCAAAAUCACCCAGCCAAGGGAAAAGUCAAGCUGGGAACUGCAUUAGGCAAACCUGCCUCCCAUUUUAUUCCUAGAUAAGAUAGCUAAAAAGAUAAAAGAGCUACAUACUUCCCUCACAAUUUUCCCAUAAGGAAAUUGCUUGUGGGACUCAAGAUCUUUGCCCUAACACAGUUCUGUUGAAUUUUACCCUGGCAACAUAAACGGAUCCCUUAUCUCCACAGGUGCAGAACAUAAAGUUAUCCCUCUGCUUACCUGAAGCAAAUGCACAUCUGAUUGCUUCCUCUGCCCUAUUGUUAAUGUAAAAAUGCAGAAUCACUGAGCCAGACUAAGUGGUGUAUUCAGUGGAAGGCUGAUCGAGGACUCAAAAGAAUUCAAUCUUUUCCCUCUGAUCUACCUAUGACCUGGAGGCUCCUGCUUCGAGUUGUUACACCUCAUGGAACUGACCAAUAUACAUCUUACACAUAUGAUUUGAUGUCUCAUGUCUCUCUAAAAUAUGUAAAAGCAAGCUGUACCCUAACCACCUUGGCACAUCGUCAGGACCUCCAGAGGUUGUGUCACAUGCAUGUCCUUAACUUUGGCAAAACAAACUUUCUAAAUUGAUACCUGUCUCAAUAUUUUGGGUUCACAGGAUUGAUUGAUUCUAAGUCCUUUGCUUAUAAUGUGCCUCCUCCUUUGUUUUCAUGUGGUCUUACUUUGUGCCUGUGUCCUAUUCUCCUCUUCUUAUAAGGAUACCAGCCAUAUUGGGUUACAGCCCACCCUCCUGACCUCAUUUGAACUUAAUUGCCUCCGUGAAGACCACAUCUCCAACUACAAUCAAAUUCCAAGGCAGCAUGAUAUAGUGAAAAGAAUAUGAGCUUCUGGAAUUAGAAGAACUGGGCAUGAGUCCCAGACUACACUACCUGUUAUGUGACCUUGGUUGAAAUGGAUUCUGACCUCCAAAUCUUGGCCAAAAUACUGAGAUGAUCUUUCCUGCCCUAAUUCCAGUAGUAAUGGUACCUGAUGCAAUACUUUUGUGGAAGAGGACAUCACAUGGUAUAUAAGAAUGAAAUCUUUAUGUGUGUAUUUGGGCAGGUAAUAUAUAUUUUAGUGAGCUAAAAAUGAACUUGGUUUUGCAAAAUAUCACCUUAUAUUUUGGCACUUUUACUAGUAGUGUCACAGUGGGUGAUUUUAGUAAUGGUGUAUGAAUGUUAUAUAGUACAGUGUAUUAUUUUCUAAUUUUUGUCCUUAUCUUUUUGUUCUUUUAUAUUUUUUUCCAGAGAAACUAGAGAAAAGCUUUGCAACAUUCUAUUUGGAAUAGAAGGUGUGGGUUGCAAUCACUGAGGUGAUGUAAUUACCAUUAUUCUUUUGAAGUUAAUUUUAGACCAGGAUAGUUUAUAAGGUAUAGCAAAUCAUCUAUAAACAUUUAAUAUGCCAGUCACUGUGGGGCUAUAGGAAUAAAAUGUGCUCCUGCCCCUGAGGAAUCCACAGUUUACUAAAAGCAAAAGGGCAUGCACAAAAGAGGUAAUUAGCAGCCAGUAAGAACAAGAAUCAUGCGAGAAAAUUAAAUAGUGGGGAUUCAAAUCUUAUUGGUAGAUGACAUUCAGACUUUAAACAUUCAAGCAAAGAUAUUUUCUUGAGAACUGGAGGUGAAUGUCACUUGCUUAAGUUCAUAUUUGGAACAAAGGAAGUUCACAAUUAUACAUGUUGAAAUAAAAUUUAGGAUGUGGAAAAUCUUUAAAUUUACUAUUUCUUCAUAAGGUCAUAUUUAGAGAUUUGGUGGUGUUAGUGAAGAGGAAACAAGGUGCAGAACAUGUAAAUAGUUAUUUCAGAAAUUAGAAAAGAAGUAAAAGCAGUUAAAACAUGUUUUUGUUGUUGGGAUUUUUGUUUAUAUAAGACCAUUGAGUGAACAUGCCUGGUGAGUGUGAGGACAUAAGUCUGCGGGUAAGAAAUAACAGGAUAGUUCUUGCUCUUUUGUUUUGUUUUUCUGUGACAGCGUCUUGCUCUGUCACCCAGGCUGCAGUGCAGUGGCGCAGUCACAGAUCACUGCCAGCCUUGACCUCCUGGGCUCGAGUGAUCCUCUUGUUUCAGCC